rnacentral:lncRNA from 1 species
GCCAAGCUUGGCGCGGGUUUGAAUGCCGGCAAUUUAAUUAAAUUUUAUGACAUUUAAUUAACAGGAGUAGUACUGAAAUCAAAUCAGUCCAUUUGUAAGUUUUAAAGAUGUUUAUUAAUUUAUUGCAAGUGCGAAUUCUCGUUUUUCAUUGUGUCUGAUCAUAUGUUAUAAAAAAAAAAGUAACCUAUUUUCAUUUUCACUGACUUNNNNNNNNNNNNNNNNNNNNNNNNNNNNNNNNNNNNNNNNNNNNNNNNNNNNNNNNNNNNNNNNNNNNNNNNNNNNNNNNNNNNNNNNNNNNNNNNNNNNNNNNNNNNNNNNNNNNNNNNNNNNNNNNNNNNNNNNNNNNNNNNNNNNNNNNNNNNNNNNNNNNNNNNNNNNNNNNNNNNNNNNNNNNNNNNNNNNNNNNNNNNNNNNNNNNNNNNNNNNNNNNNNNNNNNNNNNNNNNNNNNNNNNNNNNNNNNNNNNNNNNNNNNNNNNNNNNNNNNNNNNNNNNNNNNNNNNNNNNNNNNNNNNNNNNNNNNNNNNNNNNNNNNNNNNNNNNNNNNNNNNNNNNNNNNNNNNNNNNNNNNNNNNNNNNNNNNNNNNNNNNNNNNNNNNNNNNNNNNNNNNNNNNNNNNNNNNNNNNNNNNNNNNNNNNNNNNNNNNNNNNNNNNNNNNNNNNNNNNNNNNNNNNNNNNNNNNNNNNNNNNNNNNNNNNNNNNNNNNNNNNNNNNNNNNNNNNNNNNNNNNNNNNNNNNNNNNNNNNNNNNNNNNNNNNNNNNNNNNNNNNNNNNNNNNNNNNNNNNNNNNNNNNNNNNNNNNNNNNNNNNNNNNNNNNNNNNNNNNNNNNNNNNNNNNNNNNNNNNNNNNNNNNNNNNNNNNNNNNNNNNNNNNNNNNNNNNNNNNNNNNNNNNNNNNNNNNNNNNNNNNNNNNNNNNNNNNNNNNNNNNNNNNNNNNNNNNNNNNNNNNNNNNNNNNNNNNNNNNNNNNNNNNNNNNNNNNNNNNNNNNNNNNNNNNNNNNNNNNNNNNNNNNNNNNNNNNNNNNNNNNNNNNNNNNNNNNNNNNNNNNNNNNNNNNNNNNNNNNNNNNNNNNNNNNNNNNNNNNNNNNNNNNNNNNNNNNNNNNNNNNNNNNNNNNNNNNNNNNNNNNNNNNNNNNNNNNNNNNNNNNNNNNNNNNNNNNNNNNNNNNNNNNNNNNNNNNNNNNNNNNNNNNNNNNNNNNNNNNNAAUGGCCGAAAACGUUGCACAAAAAUAACCCUUUAUCACCCUUGAUGAUGGUCUGACUGUAACAGACACAAGGCGUAAUGGACAGAAGGUUUAUACACAUUAUAUCCUCCACAACUUCAGUCCAUGGAGUAUAACACACCCACCUGGUAUAUAUAUAAAAUCUGAAGUUAGCAGCAGACUGAGCACCACCCGGUAUAUAUAAAAUCUGAAGUUAGUAGCAGACUGAGCAGUACACUGUACCAGAGUCUCUGACUGUACAUACAUUGUAUCAUGUAUGAUAUUAUUAUAAGUCGGUUGUACAUUAAAACAUAAUAUGUGCCAGCUUGAGGGCUGUUUGCGAAACGAGUAAAAUACCAUUGCAAAGAAGCAAGGGUUACACUAAUGACUGGACCGAAUGACAGGCAUGACGGACCAAUGAAAAAUGCUAAUAAUUUUCAUUUCUACAAAGGAUUGAUCUCAAAUUUGAAAAUAAAUAAGAUUUCAUCAUUUGAGAUAUAGAUUUAGAAAAAAAAUUACAAGUUUUUUAAGAAACUUUAGAAAAGUGACAUGACCACUUUGAUAAUGAAGGACCAACAUCGAGAAUGACAGGACCAUAAUAAAAUGCAAAAAACUUCUUUUAAUUUUCAAAGGAUUAUUUCAGAUUUUAAAUAUAAAUGGUAUGUCAUAUUUUGAAACAAAAUGUUAUAAUAAAUAUAGAUUUAUUUUCAAAAUUCUUCGAAAAGUGAAGACCAUCGCUGAUUGACAGUAAUACUCGACAAUGACGGACCAGAUGAAAUUGCUAAUUUCUUUUUAUUUCUCAAAAUAUUUUUCUGAAAUUUAAAAUAUAAUAAGAUUUCUCAUUUGUAAAUAGAUUUAAGAAAAAAAAUUAAAAAGUUUUUUAAGAAACUUUAGAAAACGUGACAUGACCAACUUUGAUAAUGACAGGACCAACAUCGAGAAUGACAGGACCAUAUAAAAAUGCUAAUAACUUUUUUAUUUUUCAAAGGAAUUAUUUCAGAUUUGAAAUAUAAAAUGGUAUGUCAUAUUUUGAAACCAAAAUGUUAUAAUAAAUAUAGAUUUCUUUAUAUACGAGUCAAAACCGAUGGUGCGUUUCAUUUCAUGUUAAUCUUCAGGUAAAAAAAAUGAACAAAAAGCGAAAUCCAAACUUUAUUAUGUUAGAUCAUAGUCGAUGUUGGUCAGGUCACACAACCGCAAGCUUUCAAUACGCUUUUUUUCUAUAUUUUUCUUAUAUGAUGUGCAAAAUGGUCUAAAUUGUCAUUAUUUCAAAUAUGAGAGGAAUAUUCUGACAAAUGUUAUGCAUAAUUAGCAUUUUUAUUUGGUCCUGUCAUUAAUCAUGUUAAUUGUCGAGGAUUGUCCUGUUAUUGACAAUGUUAUACAGGUCACAUUUCAGCAAAGCUUUUUAUACUUUUUAAAUUUCAGAGAAAUAUUCUGCGAAAUAAAAGAAUAAUUAGUAAUUUCAUUUGUUCCCGUCAUUGUCGAGGUUGGUCAUGCCAGUCAGCGCGGAUGGUCAUGUCACGUUUUUGAAAGUUUUUGAAAAUAAAUCUAUAUUUUUUAUAACAUAAAUGUUUCAAAAUGUGACAUAUCAUCUUAUGUUUCAAUUCUGAGAAUUCUUUUGAAAAAUAAAAAAAGUUAUUAGCAUUUUAUUUGGUCCUGUUAUUGUCGAUGUUGGUCAUGUCAUUAUCAGAGUUGGUCAUGUCAUGUUUUCUAAAGUUUCUUACAAUUUUUUUUUUAAUUUUUUUUUCUUAAAUCUAUUUAUCAAAUGAUGAAAUCUUAUUAUAUUUCAAAUUUCAGUAAAAUAUUUUGAGAAAUAAAAGAGAAAUUAGCAAUUUCAUCUGGUCCGGGCAUUGUCGAGGUUGGUCCUGUCAGUCAGCGAUGGUCAUGUCACGUUUUCGAAAGUUUUUGAAAAUAAAUCUAUAUUUAUUAUAACAUUUUGGUUUCAAAAUAUGACAUACCAUUUUAUAUUUCAAAUCUGAAAUAAUUUAUGAAAAAUAAAAAAGUUUAGCAUUUUUAUUUUUGGUCUGUCAUUUAUUCCUAUUAUCAUUGGUCAUGGGUUUCAAAAUAUGAAUAUCUCAUGAUUCUUAUUAUAUUUCAAAUUUGAGAUCAUCCUUUAGAAAUGAAAAGUUAUUAGCAUUUUUCAUUUGGUCCUGUCAUUCGGUCCUGUCAUUCGGUCCAGUCAUUAGUGUAACCCAAGAAGCAAGGAUUUGUUUAACUUUUUAAAGAUUUGUAUAGUUACAAAUCCUUGAAAGAAGUGAAAUGAGAACAAAAUAAUGGCUUCUACUACCUGAACGAUAACAGUUUUUUUUUUUUGUUUUAUCUCUGUUGGUGUUCAUCGCCCGAUUUACUUCCCUUUACAUGGUCACGCCAACUACCAUAAAACAACAAGUGCGUUAAGUAAUAAAUCAAAGGGCUUGGUAGCUCUCAGGUUCUCAACGUACAUCCUGUUCCACCUAACAGAAGUUCCAUUGGAAACUUUGUUAUAAACAAUGUCAUUAUGUAUAUUCUUGUUGGAACAAAUAUUGUAUACCAUUUAUUCCGUUAGGAACAUAUACUGUAAUAUGUUAUUCCUGUAUGACAAGCCAAAGUGGACAAAAAGAGCUAUUUUCUAAUAUUAGAAAAUCAUUUUUUAACAUUAAAAAAAUGAAAAACACUAUUUAUUGAUAUUAAAAAAAUGAUUUUCUAAUAUUAAAAAAUGAUUUCUUAAUAAUAUGAGGCAGGAAUUAAGAUAAGAGAUGUGUCGAAUUCGCCGAUUAUCUGACAGAAUACUAUGCAACUGAAGAUUCUAUGUUCCCACUUAAGCUUUUGGCAGAAAUUCCGUGUAAUUUUAACAAACAAUUAAGGGACAGAGUCGUUCCAUGCCCAUUAUAAUAAGCAAUUUUAUAGUUGUCACCCAGCUAUUCGCGUUUUCUUGAUAAUUAUCAAAUUGCAAACAACAACAUAUAAAGAUACGAAAUAUGAUAGACGAAUUUGCACCACAAUCUAGACAAGAUAAAGAGAAAGAACCGUUCCUUAUGCAAAUUAUUCUAUGUGCAGUAUUGUACAGGGGUAUAUCCAGUUUCCAGAGCCCAUUAAACGUACGUUCUCCAAGUUUUUGGUCGAAGUAGUUUUUGAUGAAGUUGAAGUCUAAUCGACUUGAAACUUGGUAAACAUGUUCCCUAUGAUAUGAUCUUUCUAAUUUUACUGUCAAAUUAAAGAUCUUAUCCCAUUUUCACGGUCCACUGAACAUAGAAAAUGAUAGUGCGGAUGGGGCAUCCGUGUACUUGGGACACAUUCUGAUUUAUAUAUUAUUUGUCCGACACCCCAAUAGUCCAACUUCAGCAGGGUGUGAAUGGAGGUUUACAGAACAAGAGAAUAAUGGCAAAAGUAUAAAGAAUAGAAAAAUGAGCCAAAAAAUGAGGUGCUAAAAUAUUAAUAUUAUGGAGGGAGUAAUGGACAAAAUAUACAAAGAAUAGGGAAAAUGGAUGCAAUUAUACCCCUUCCCACCCGCCCUAAUUCAGACACUAAUUUGUAGAAUCGUUGACGAGUUAUUUGAACAACUCUUUCUUUUGAGUAUGAUUACAGAAACAGAUAACACUAAAUAGGAAAUGUCAUCAGCAGGGCUGUCUCUCAUCAUAAAGAAUAAUUUUCACGUAAUUAGGUUUCGGAUACAAUCAAAUUGAACUGUAAAAAGUGUCAUAUUUGUCAUAUUUACCAUACAGAGAGACUAUGAUAAUAAUUACAUUAGACAUUUGAUAGAUGUGUGUUUCAUUAUGAUACGUCAUUCUGAUUGGCUACACUGCAAUCUCGCGUUAUUCUUUAAGCAACUUCAUUACACAAUAAAAUUUACCUCUGAUGAUGACACAGGUCCCACAAUAAAGUGCAUAGUUUAAUUAAAUACAAACUUGAGAAAAAUCGUGUUUUCAGGAUCCUAGUUAAAAAUUGCUUUCGCGCUUCAUAUACAAAAUGCACUUCGGUCAACGCUUUUACACCCCAAUGAAGUUACAAAAAGAAGCAUUCAUUUCUUAAAUAAACUCCAAAAUUGGCGAGUUUAAGUUUAUAACAUCGAUAUAUAAAGUAAAAUUGUUCAAUCGGUGAUGAUUUAAAACGUAAAAAAGACAAAAAUGGACAAAAUGUGCUGUAAGAAUUAGCUCGAACAUUCUAAGUUCGAUAUCAUUCUGGUGGUACAUUUCAUUCAUUUUCAUCAAAGUUUCCACCUUAAUAAAGUCAUGAGACGUUUGCCACUGGACAUAAUACAAACAAAUGACUACCAAUCAUUUACAAAUAGCCAUCAUAUAUGUUCUAUUUAAAUAAGCGAUAAUAUAGCAUCAUCAUAUAUAUGUAAUUGCAGAUUCAUGAUACAACAAACUUUGUUUCUGUAUUAAAGUAUUUUCAUUUGUGUUCUUUUAUCUCUUAAACACAACUUAUACGGGUUAGGACUCAAGCAAACAGGUCCAACUUCUCUUGACAUUGACACUGUCACACAAAUGUACCUGUAUUCAUUGUUUCUAUUUACUAGCACAUUCGCUGUUGUCGUAAACUCUUACACUCAAACAGAUUCCUUACGGAGAACGCGCCAAACUUUACAAAGUUCUAUUUGAUUUACCAGUUUUCCCACUAUCUUAAGAGUUUAAUGUGUUAACUUUAAAUAAUUCACUAUUCAAUUAAGUACAAACACAGUUGCUUUAAGACAGACUAAACUUAUGUUCUUCUCACAAUAAUUCUGCACACUGAACCAAGCAUACAAAUCGAGUUAAAAGCAUAAUUGAAGCCUGAACUUUGGAUGAGAUACAAAGCUGCGUAUCAUCAUUUUAGUUAUUAGACAAAACUUCAAAAAUGUAAUUGAGAACGGAAAUGGGGAAUGCAUCAAAACGUAUACAGAUCUUAAGAUAAAUAUAACAAAGAAGUGGGUAAAGUUUUGAACAAUAAUCAUGAAUUGUUUUUGAGAUACAGCUUGACAUGUGAAAGCCCCCCCCCCUUUUUUUAAAUCAAUAUUUCUAAAAUAAAAUUUUGAAUUGACAAAAAUAAAAUUUUGAAUCAUCCCCAAAAAAUUAACAGAUCUUUUGAUUAAUAUAACUUAAAAGUGUGUAAAGUUUAAAGCAAUUAUCAUAAAUUGUUUUUUUGAGAUACAGCGCGACAUGUGAACCCCCCCGUUUUAGUGACAAAGUCCCGAAACUCAAAAAGUUUUCAUCUUAUUUUCAUCAAAAAGUAUACAGAUUGUUUGACCAUCAUAAGGAAGAACUGUAUUAAGUUUCAUGAAAUUUGGAUAAGUCGUUCUCAAGUUAUGGUGCGACAUGUUUACGCCGGACAGACGGACAGACGGACGCCCUACAUUUGUAUACCAUAAUCCCGUCAAAAUUUUGACGGUCGUAUAAACAUUAAGGUAUGUGAUGUACUGCAUCAUGACACAUCUUGUACAACCUUACGUAGGAAAACAAAUAGUACUUUUGUUGCAGUUCUUCAUCUCAAUGACACAUGCAGUAACUAGUAUUUCACCCUGAAGCGUAAAACAACAAUCACAUAACUAUACUGUGAUAUAUUUUACUACCUGUACAUCUGAAAAGAAAUACAAAUUGAGAAGAAAAUUGUUAUUUCAAUUCAAAUGCAUUUUACUAUUUCUAGAAAAAAUAUUAACAAGUGUAAUACUUAUAAAGCAACUAUAAAACAAAUAGCUGGGUAUGUAAAUGUACAAAGAAAGACACAAAAGGCCAUAUUUACAAUAUCUAUGACUUGUAAAUGGUGACCUAUAUUUUUUGUUUGGCUGGAACCGUUGAAAUUCCAUCUCAGGCUUGUUGGGUUGACGCUCACUGAUAUAUAUUAUUUUAUUUACUGUUAAUUCUGAAAGUUAGUUUCUACUGUACUGUAUUAGUGUCACAAUAAUAAAAAUGCACAUUCUUGUAUCUAAUACAGAUGAGGACAAAUAAAAUCUACCUAUAUUACUUCAUAUAAUGUCGUGAGCACUUCAUAUAAUGUUGUGAGCUCUUCAUAUAAUGUUGUGAGCACUUCACAUAAUGUCGCGAGCCCUUCAUAUAAUGUUGUGAUCACUGCAUAUAAUGUUUGGACCGCUGCGUAUAAUGUUGUGAACACUUCAUAUAAUGUUGUGAGCACUGCAUGUAAUGUUUGGACCACUGCGUAUAAUGUUGUGAGCACUUCAUAUAAUGGUGUGAGCACUUCACAUAAUGUCGAGAGCACUUCAUAUAAUGUUGUGAUCACUGCAUAUAAUGUUUGGACCACUGCUUAUAAUGUUGUGAACACUUCAUAUAAUGUUGUGAGCACUGCAUAUAAUGUUUGGACCACUGCGUAUAAUGUUGUGAGCACUUCAUAUAAUGUUGUGAGCACUGCAUAUAAUGUUGUGAGCACUGCAUAUAAUGCUGAUCAUUAACAUAAGGCAGUCAUGGCGUUCCAUAGUUCCAUAUAUAUUUCAUCAAGUAAAUGAUAUAUAUCUUGGGUUGUAACUUGAUAUUAUAAGAGUCCAGAUAGUUGUCAAAUAGAAAUUUACUAUUAAUGCACGUCUAUAAAAGAGGGACGAAAGAUACCAAAGGGACAGUCAAACUCAUAAAUCUAAAACAAACUGACAACGCCAUGGCUAAAAAUGAAAAAGACAAACAAACAAUUCAGCACACACGACACAACAUAAAAAACUAAAGAAUAAACAACACGAACCCCACCAAAAAACUAGAGGUGAUCUCAGGUGCUCCGGAAGGGUAAGCAGAUCCUGCUCCACAUGCGGCACCCGUCGUGUUGCUUAUGUGAUAACAAAUCCGGUAAAUAGUCUAAUUCGGUAGUUCACAUUCAUGAAAGGGAAAGGGAUUGUAGUUACGACGUAAGGAACAUAUCCGAUAUCAUUUUUGAAACGGUUAUUCCAUAACGGUCAAUCAACUCGUGAUGGCGUCCGUAAAAUUUACGAAGGGAUGAUUUCAACUUCACCAUUUGGAACUCUUGGUUUAAUAGCUUCCUUGUGAGCAGCAACCCUCUAUCAAGAAAAUCAUGAUAGGAAAUGCAAGCACGGGAAUAUCGUAUCAAUUGGGAGAUAUAACCCCCGUAUGCAGGUGCUGCUGGAAUGUUGCUACUUAGAAAUGGAAAGUUCACAAUUGGAAAGCUGAAAUCAUCUCUUUUGUCGUAAAGUUUUGUUUUCAACCGACCCUCAUUGUCAAUUUCUAGAUGUAAGUCAUGAUAUGAGGCCGACUUAACUGUAUCUGUAGUAUCCUUUAUCUCUAGCUCGAUUGGAUAGAUGCGUUCCACAUAGUCACCAAAUUUUGAAUUAUUUAGUGAAAGAACAUCAUCUAUAUAUGUAGAGUUAAAGGAUAUUGCUAACUUCUUAUCUUUCUUCCUAAGAAGUUCCUGCAUGAAGUCAGCCUCAUAAUAAUAAAGAAACAAGUCGGCAAGUAGAGGGGCACAGUUUGUUCCCAUUGGAAUGCCGACAGUGUCUGUUGAAAAACACGUCCUCCGAACGUAACAAAUAUGUUGUCAAUCAAGAAAUCAAGCAUCUUGAUAAUAUCAGUUUCAGAGAAUUUUUUUGUUCGAAUCAGAGUGAUCCUUUACAAAGUAGGAUUUAUCCCUCCCUAAGACAAGAUACUUGUAUCUACGUUGGCCAUUCUUUUUACGAAGCAAAGCAAUACCAACUCUUUCAAUUUGUCUUUUAGUUUGAAAUGUGGAAUACUAGUGUACAGAGUAGAAAAGUCAAAUGUUUUAAUACUGUUAGAAGAUGAAAGAGAGUUAGAUUGUAUGUACUCUAAAUUGAAUUGUCAAUACCUAAUUCGUUUAUCAAGCAGUUAAUGUAAUGAGUUUUACAUACACAAACGAUGUUGUUUGGGGGCAUUAUCUGCGGGGACAACAACAUAUUUGUCAUGGAGGUAGGAUAGGUGUUUUGCAACAUUUGGGUCUUUAAAGAUUGACGUAGCAUGGGCAUUGAUAGACCCAUUCUCGCGAUUAGCCCAUUGCCUGGCAUAAUCCUCAACUGAAUCCAUCAAAAUUUUAAAGUUGUAUUUCCAAUUGAUGGAUUUAGGCUCACGAUAUUUCGGACCUUUCGAUAACACAUUUCGUAGAGAAGUGUUAUUAACAAUGUUGAGGUCACCGGUAAUAACGUGGCCAACAGGAUUAUAUGUGAAUUGGGAACUAGCACAAGUGCAAUCAGGAGGUUUAGACUUGAAGUCGUCAAUAUCGAGAUCCUGCAAAACGUGUUUGUAAUUGAAAAUUUUAGUUGCAAUAGGUUUGGUAUAGGUAUAAGAAAUGAUUGGUACAGACAGACUGGUCUUUGAAAUAAGGAGGUAUUUUCGAUUGAACUAAUUCAUGAUGAAGGAUAUUGCCUAAGUUGACGCCAUCGAUACCUUUGUUGGCAAAGGAAAGAUUAAGGAAAGAUCUUAUAUAUGAUGACACUAGAAUGUUUUUAUUGAUAAUUUUAUUGUAGUUCAAAAGAAUCUUUAAAACUAUCGUUCAGAGUUAGUUGUAAUGCUGAAAUUAUUUUUCUAAUGCAAAUUUUAUAGAUUAAAUAAUCAAAACAACAACUUAUGCAUCUUUAAUCAUUGUCAACAUAUACAGUUAAAAAAACAAUGUGAACUCGUGGUAAAAAGCCAAGGUAGAUACACACAGAAAAACAGACAAAAAAAUAAGCAGUGCCUUUUCCUAUCCUAAAAAAAGUGCCCUGCCCUCCAUUGGCACCCUACCACUUUUAAUUUCUAUCUGGAGCACUGAUUAUAAUACAUGUAUCUGUAUUCAUUUUUUUUUUUUUAAAUCACAAUAAAUAAUUUCCCAAGUUUUGUCCAUUCUUCAAAAUUUAUAUUAAUUGCCAUAUACUUAUCCUUCAACAAUGUACAAAGCCCAUACCGCAUAGUCAGCUAUAUUGAAAAAAGAGUAAAAUGUUUGAGAAGUGUUUUCCUGAGGGCAAUAGUUUUAGGUUUGAUUGAAAUUCAAAAUAUAUACACAUGUACAUAUAAUGAUGUAUGAUGAUGGUCUGGAUUGGGGAGAGGGUCUAAUCUGAUAAUCAUUUCCUUCGUAUUCUUUAUUUUAUUUAUUGUGUCAAUACAGGAGCUAUUGUUUGAUAUUUAUAGGGAUGGAAGGGGGGACUAACCUGUUUGCAAAUUUUUGCCCUUUUUCUUUUUAUUUGUUAUCUCUGUCCUGGCUUUUUAUUUUUCACUCUAUUCAGUCCUGCCUUUUGUUAAUUAGUUUUUUACAUAAAUUGUCAUCCUUCCUUUUUUCUUUUUUUUUAAUUCUAACCCCCGUCCUGUCUUUUUUUUUUACAAUGUCCUGUCCCUCUAGAGCUUGUUGUUGGUUUUUGUGGGUGUUUACUCUUGUCUGUGUCUACAAGGUUGAGCCCGCACAUGCACUUGUCUCAGAUUGAAGAUUUCUUGCUAUUGUGCAAUAUUGUGCUAUUGGACAUUUUUAAAGAAAAAAAAGGAAAGAAAGGGAGAAAAAAGGGAAAAAAAAUCCCCCUCCUCCAAAAAAAUUUUUUUUGAACCCUCUUAUGAUUCAUCACCCCCCAACUCAAUCUAAGCCUUCCCUUUAUGGUACAAUUUCAGAGAGAUCUAUGCACUUGAACACAAGUUAUUGUCUGGAAACUAGAAAAAUGCUUAUUUUUUCCCCCUUUUUGGCCCUAUUUCCUAAACAUUUAGGGCAAUUACCCCCAAAAUCAAACCCAGCUUUUCCUUUGUGAUAUGGAACCUUGAAAAAAAAAAUUUAUAAAGAUUUAUACACUUACACACAAGUAAUAGUCCUGAAACUAGAAAAAUGCUUGUUUUUUACCCCUUUUAGGCAACUAAUUUCUAAAAUUUUGAGGCAAUUACCCCCAAAAUCAAUCCAAGCAUUCCCUUUGUGAUAUGGAAUCUUGUGGUACAAUGUCAGAGAGUUCCAUUCACUAACACACAAGUUAGUGUCUGGAAGUUACAAAAAUGCUUAUUUUUUGCCCCUUGUCUGCCUCUAAUUCCUUAACUGUUGGUACCAUAACCCCCAAAAUCAAUCCCAACCUUCCUUUUGUGGUAUUGAACCGUAUGGUAAAAUUUCAUAGAGAUCCAUUCACUUAAACUAAAGUUAUAGUGCGUAAACCAAUCUAUCUUCGGACAACAAGGACGACGACGACGACGACGCCAACGUCAUACCAUUAUACGACCGCAAAUUUUUUUGCAGUCGUAUAAAAAUGCAUUACAAAUUGUAUCUGCAGGUCAAAUUAACACGAAAAUACGAUUUGAGAGUACUCGUAGUUACUGAAAACCAGUUAAAAGUCAAAAACAAUUAAUAAUAAUAAAAAAGAAAUCAUGCACCAGAGACUAAAAUCAACUAAAACACAUCCCAGGGAUUUAGUGUUUUAACGUCAUGGACAGUCAAAGAAGACAUGACUUGUGCAAUGCCAAAAUAAAAGUAUCGACAGGCAGUAGGAUAGUUAGGAGUUUACCUUUUUAUAAAUAUGUAUAAUGUUAUAUAUAGAUAGUACAUACCUAGUUUGUAUAUGACCGCAAAAAUAAUUUUGGGAUCGUAUAAUGGUAUGAUGUCGUCGUCUGCGUCGUCCGAAGACACAUUGGUUUCCUGACAAUAACUUUAAGUGAAUAGAUCUUUAUGAAUUUUUUUUCAGAAGGUUCAAUACCACAAAAGGAAGGUUGGGAUUAAUUUUGGAGAUGAUGGUCCCAAUCGUUUAGGAAUAAGAGGCCAAAAAGGGGCCCAAAAACGCAUUUUUCUAGUUUCAGGAUAAUAAAUAGUGUACAAGUAUUUCAAUUGCUCUGAAAUUGUACCACAAUGUUUAAAACCACAAGUAGAAGGUUGGGAUUCAUUUUAGGGGUUAUGGGGCCAACAGUUUAAGAGUAAGGGCCACAAAACAAGCAUUUUUCUAGUUCCCAGACAAUAACUUGCGUGUUAUUGUAUGGAUCUCUCUGAAAUUCUACCACAAUGUUUCAUAUAACACGGGGAGGGUGGGAUUGAGUUUUGGGUUAAUUGCACAAAACAUGUAGGAAUUAGGGGCAAAAAAAAAACGGCCAAAAAGAAGCAUGUUUCUAGUUUCCAGACAAUAACUUGGGUUUAAGUGUAUGGAUCUCUCUGAAAUUGUGCUACAAGGUUCCAUACUACACAGAAAAGGCUGGGAUUGAGUUUUGGGGUUAAUGCUCCAAGGGGUCAAUAAGUUGGGGGGGGGGGUUGUUUACAAUUUUUUUCAAAAUUUUUCAAAUUCUGAUUUUUGAAAGUUUCAAGAAAAAAUCUUCAGUUAGACAGUAUUGUGCAAUAGAUUUGUAAGAUCUUUGACCACAUUUAUUUUGUGUCAAAAACCUAUAUUUUGUCAAAAUUUCUAUCACAAUCCAAAAUCAGACAGUAUCAAGCAUGAAUAUUGUGACCAAAUUUGUCCAAACUGAUCAGGAUUCGACCACUGUGGUCAUAUCAGGCUGCACUCAGCGAAGCAUUUUAUUGACAAUUGAUGUUCCAAAGCUAUGAAACAACAAAUAAAGUGAAAUUCGUUAAAAUCACCUUCAGUGACCACCAUUCUUAACAAUUUGAUAAAUACCAUUGCAAUAAGAACACUUGAGAUAUUGGAAAAAAAUCGUUUGGCUUUUCUUUUCGAAGAUUAAGGUCUUACAACUCUGGACUCUUGAACUGAAAACGACAAUUCAUACAAGCCUACACAUAGACCCUUAUCUUAUAGUCAUUGCUGCUGACUGAUAAAAUUUGUUCAAGUUGAAGUAUAUGUUAUGCUACAAAUAAGAAUUUAGAAGGAUCCAGAAUUACCAUGAGUACAAAUAUUGGAAUUCCGAUAUCUACUAGUAAAAAUUGGAAUUCUUUGUAGUCGAGCACACCUUCCAUGCCACGGUGCAGGGCUCGAACUCACACCAUCAGUGUUGACAGUCAGGAUAGAAACUGAUCUAAUUUUUAUCGGGAGUUUUAUUGCAGGAAUAUCCACAAUUUGAGGAACUGAGCAAAAACUGAUGAAUAUAUACAAAUAAAGUCAGAUAAAACAUUUAAUUACACCAAUACCACAAUACAAAUCCUUGAUAAUAUAUGGGUUAGAAUUCCGGCGAGGGAAGAACAAAAAAAAAUUGCGAAAGCAAAUUUACAGAUCUAACAUUGUUGGGUUGAUGUUUAGACGAGUUGUAUAUACAUAAUGUACACAGCCAUGUAUCACCAUUAUUGCUGGUGAUCCGAUGGAUAAAUCUGCUGUAGAGUUAUCACUGACUCAGACGUCACUUAUUAAUAUAAUUAUUUUCUGUUACUGUAUCUUGCAUUAAUUUGUAGGAUCCUUUACUGUAGAUAAUUGAGCUGAUCUGUAACAAUAACAUCUCCAUGCAUUAUAUAUCAUGUACUGUAGUACGCCGCUAGAUUAAAACUGACGAGGAAAGGUAACACACGGCAACCGAAAGCUUUAUUUUUGUGAAGCCCAGGUGGUCGUGUGGUCUAGCGGGACGGCUACAGCGCAGGCAAUUUGGUUUCACGAUAUCUCAGUAGCAUGGGUUCGAAUCCCGGCGAGGGAAGAACAAAAUAAUUUGCGAAAGCAAAUUUACAGAUCUAACAUUGUUGGGUUGAUGUUUAGACGAGUUGUAUAUAUAUAUUGGUGGGUUGAUGUUAAAGACGAGUUGUAUAUAUAUAUAUAUAUAUAUAUAUAUAUAUAUAUAUAUAUACACUCGUCUAAACAUAUAUAGAUAUAUAUAUAUAUAUUAUAUAUAUACAACUCGUCUAAACAUAUAUAGAUACAACUGGUCUUAAACAUCAACCCAAUCAAACCGCAAUUUUUAUACGUGUGCAUGUAAAACAAAUUUCGUUGUAGAAGGGUCUAAAAACAGCACAAACAACAUUUUCCAAAAGACCCAAAAAGUGAAAAAGUAUAUUUAAACAAAACGCAUUUGACUAACAGGUCGAACAACUGAUGUUCUUUAACCCUGCUGACUGCCAUUGGCGAUUGCCAAAUAAAAUUGAUCACAAGAUGUAACAAAAUGGAUCUUAAUAUAAAUUUAAUACUAAACAGAAAAAGAUUAACUUGUGGCCACGAUGUAUAUAUUUAUUGAAGAUGAAAGGCAUGAAUAUGACAAGCACUAUAUAAAUUAAAAUGACACAUAGAUAUAGCACUAGACAUAAAUAGUUACAGACACUAACAUGAUUUACAUGUUUUCUAAAAAUUAUAAUAUAAAAAUAAAAUUAUAAAAAUUGUCAUGAUAUUUUGAUAAUACUAAUAGACUAGAUUAUAAUGAGUGAAAAUUUCUUUAAGACUAGAUUAUCACUGUAGCCUAAUACCUUAGGAUGACCCACACAAGUUAUUGAUACUUAUUUCCAGUGGGGUCCUUUUAAGAAGAGACUUCCAGUUUACACCAAAGGUUGACACAUAAAAAUAACAAAAAUCCUUAAAACUUAUCGAAGAACGUUCCUUGACCUUUUAUAACUGUUACUUGGAUAUAUGUCUCUGCUUGGAUGGACGAGGGAAGGCGAUUUCGUCAUUCAUAUAUCUAAUUCAAACCCUGUUUUGGUUCUCACCCCAGACUUCAUAUUAUUUUUUUAACCUAGUAUUAGCGUAAGCUUUCGUUAAUUCAUGGGAUUUGCAAGUUUCCGAGUUGAUUAAAUUUUUUAGACAGUUUAUAGGAUAUGUUAUAGUUAUUGACCAAGCAAGUCGGUAUAUUGGAUUUAAUCUGCACAGCUAGGGUGACCCUGAUUAACCCGAACGACGUAGGAGUUCGGGUUAAAGGGUCACACGAGCGUGCAGAUUUAAUCGAAUAUACCGAUUUGAUUGGACAAUAACUGUUUUAACACAUGACGCCAUCAAUUUACGUGAACGUUUUAGCAAUAUGCAAACGAUGGUUCGCAAUCCACGGCUCCUAAAUAAAGUUUCUUGUAGAGUAAAGAAAGGGGGAAAUGAGCCUUUAUGUAGUAAGAGGUUGGUAAGUUUUAAAUUAUUAUUAUUUUUUUUUUAUAUUUAGGCUUCUUCCUCAAUUUUUACAUUAUCUGCGAUUUAACUGUAAAUUGUUUCUGUUAAAUUUAUUCGAUCUUUUUUUUCUAGCAAUCAGUGACGAUUAAUACUUUAUAUUCUGCUUUAAUUUUAAAUCGGUGUUAUGGAGUAAAGAUUAAUUGCUUUUCUUUCCUUAAUGAUAUGCUUAGAGAAACGAGGAGGAUUUUAGUACAUACAUGUACAUUUAAAAUAUUAAAUAAACAGAAACAGCGAUUCGCUAUCCAAUCUUUAAACCCUCUCCGACCCCUCCCCCGACCCCAAAUUUAAAUUCGAUACCCAAAUAGUCCCUUUAUAGAAAUAAAUAUGCCAAAAAUCAUAAUGAAAUUCAUUGUCUAAAACUUGUGUAUAUCAGAUUUCAUUUAUUUUAAUAUUUUUAAGUACAUGCUUUCUUUUUUGGCAGAAACUACAAAAAAAUCGUUAUUAUCUGUUCUCACGGACUUUGAAACACUGAUUUAAGAUUUACACUGUGUACACAAAAUAAAAUAAAAUAUUUCAUGUCCCAGUUUAGAAAUAAAAAGGGAAGGAGAAACCUUUCUUUUUUCAUCACCGGCCUCGUUUGAAGAAGUCUAAGUAGCUCUUCUACAGUAAUCACUAGACAGUCAACACUGUGGGGUUGAUGGCAAACUCCGCCCGUGCUGGGGUUUUCGACUCCAAUAUUAAUUGAUUAGGACUGUCAGUUUUCCCAUCAAAUGUGUGUGGGCCGGUUUUCUCCGAGCACUCCGGCUCCUAGCAAUAAAAACUGGGCGCCACAAAUGGCCGAAAUGUGGCACUUAAAAGUGACGUUAAAACAAUCAAUCCAUCAUUUGAUUCUUAUUUUGAAACUACGAUGUUUGUACAAAGUGUUUAAUUUAUCAACUUUUUUUGUAACUUGAAGUCAGAUGGUGGAUUCGUUUUUUUUUUUUUUUUUUUGUUUUUUUUUUUAGGGGGAGGGGGAGGGGUCGAAUAGGCUGUUCAUCCUUGAAUUGGAAAACGAAACGUUUUUAGUCUCGCUACCAUCGUUGAUAUUUAUUGAUUUUAUAGAAUACAUGUCACACCCCUUUCAGAAUCCAGGAAACGCCCCUAAAGGUAAAAAUAGAUUUGAACUGUGCAGUAUAUUUGAGGUAGUUAAUACACACUUUAGCUGUGCAUUAUUCAGAUUAAAGCACAGUAAGAACAAAGAGAUUUUACCCAUGUCAAGUGUUAAUAUAACUUAGUUUUUCGAACGUAGCGGCCCAUGCUCACGGCCUUCCUCGGCGGAAGUUUAUUUGCAUGUGAAGUUUACGGUUUCUCGUAAUUACGCAAUGAUUAUGUCGUAAUUACGAGACAAAAAAUGGUUAUAACGAGAUACAUAUUUUUUUAGUGACCCUAAUAGUCUUUCGUACAUACCUAUACAGAUUGUCCCUAAUUUUGAAACUGCUAAUCCUUAAAAAGUAAAGCUUUUAAAGGCAUGGUUAGCCAAAUUUGUGAGGGCCCUCAUGGGGUUUUUGAUUAUGUGAUUACUUGGCCGUUUUUUUAAUGAUUAUUUGAUUAUUAAGAUAAAUAUUUCAUGAUUAUUUGAUUACCUAGGACUGUAUUUUUAGUUUAUGAUUAUUUGAUUACUAAAGAUAAGCAAAUAUUUAAUGAUUAUGUGAUUAUAUUGGCAAAAAAAUGGUGAUUAUGUGAUUACUAGGACCCCCCCCCCCCCAUGAGGGGCCUCAUUUGUGUAUUAACACGAGCAUGUGCUAUUAUAAAUGAAUGGAAUGACGUAAAAAGAAAAAAAAAAAAAGAAAAAGAUGUGUUCCAAUUUAUUUGACUGCAACCCAUAAUUCUACAAAUGUUAUACAAUACCUUUCAGUAAUGAUAUUUACUCUAUAUUAUCUGUCUAUCACAGAUUUAUUUGUGAUUGAAAAAAAAAUAUUAAAAAGAGGAAACAUAUCUCAAUUCUUUUAAUGCCUUUAUUAAAAUUUUUAUGUUCUAUCAAUGUUUUGAUUGAUUUAAAUAUUCUCAUCAUAUAGUUAUUUUUUAUUUCAAUCCCACUCUAGGAAGUGCAACUGAAAAUAACACAUUCCGGGCAAAUAUCACUGAUUUUAUGGUUCUGGUCCUUCUUAGAUCAAAUAUGUACAUGAUUUAUUUGAAACAAAGAAAAGUAUAUGUAGGUUUAUAAUUAUAUGAACAUUCAAUAUUUCAUUUCGGUGUGAAAAUGUUUUACGAAAUCCGAGUUUAUUGUUUUGUGUCACUGUGUGUGGAUGUCAUACUUCCCAGUUCAAGGGUCUAUAAUUGGAACAUACAUAUUCCUUUUCUUAUUCGAUAUCUUUGUAAUAAUUUCAUCAAAUAGGUACACCUUUUUACAAAUGAUUUUAGAAUGUGUACACACCUUUUACAAUCCUACAUCUAUCCCAAGAGACUGCAUACUCAUUUCAAUAUCGUUAACAAUUUAUAUGCUUGCCAGAAAUAAAAACUUGUAUUGUGUGACCGCCCCUCCCCCCAGUUAAAUAACAUUUUUGAUGGCAAUCCCCCCCAGGCUGCAUGAUAUUUUUGGUAAUGACCCCGCCGCCUAAAAUGCACAGACCCCCUCAGCUGAUAAUAAUAACUGUUCUCCAAGUGUACAGACAUGAUCAUCUACUCAUUACAGCCUCAGACGGGAUGCUAUUCUAUUUUUAGAAGCAUAGAAUCACUAUGGAUUUAUAAUGAGACCGAAUGAGACAUGUCUGACUAUGUGUAUAUAUGGUACCAAAUUGGAACAAAGAAAAAGGUGAGUUCUAAUCGCACAGUGCUAUUCAUUUGGGUUGUAUAUAUAAAUAAGCAGUCUCUGUCAACUUCACACAUGAUACAUGAUGGUCUUGAAGUAUAGAUUCUGGGUACUGGCGUUGUUUAUCGUCUUAAUUACCUGUUAUAGUGGUCUCUUUAUGUUUCCUUGUACAUUUUUAAUCUUUACUGUUUAGUCCAUUUUUGGUAAUAUAUUUUUGGGGUGGCUCGGUACUUUUACAUCCCACCAUUGUGUUAUUGUGCUAUGGUCAAUUUUGUAUUCUUGUCUUUCAUUUUUCCUUAUGUACUCUGUCUAUAGACAGGGGCGGAUCCAGGAAUAAGGAAAGGGGGGGGGGAGUGGGCGAAGUUUUUAAAUUUUCUCCCACGCAGCGACCAAGCAUAAAAAAAAUGAGCGAGUGAGAGAUUUAAUUUUAAUUAGAUUGAACAUUGAAUUGCGUAGCUGCAUUUAAAAUUCUGCGAAAUAUAAUGACGCUUGCGGUCAAAUAGUUUAAAUUCACCAGGUCUAAUAGUUGGAAAUUUUUGACCGGUCCAAUAGUUCAAAACUUGGUCUCCCACGCAGCGACCAAGAAUAAAAAAUAAGGGAGUGAGAGAUUUAAUUUUAAUUAGAUUGGAGAAUUUUGAAAAUAACGCGAGAGAAACGACGUCGUGUUUACCUUUUAUAUCUAGUAUAGGUUUGACGUCAGUGCAAGACGUAGCCUAAGUAUUUGAACAUAAUUAUCUAUGAAGUUAACGUUAUGGUUUGGUUUCUUCUUUUUAAAAUAACGAUAGUUGAUUUAUCACCGCCAUUUAUUGUCUGUUGUCUUUUUUGAUACAAUAAAACACUUACUGACUGGAUAUUCGUGAAAUAUUAAGUUUAUUGUCCCUAGGAUACAACUAUUGCCCUCGGCUACGCCUCAGGACAAUAGUUGCUCCUCGGGACAAAAAAAACCUAACUAUUCCACUCAUACCCAGUCAAUAAGUAUACAAUGUUGACUGCUGCAUGCACACCAAUUUUUGACAUUUUUACGUAUUAUGCCGUUUGUUUUGCUCACACAUUGUUGCCAAUAUAAUGGAAUUCUAUGCGACAGUCAUACAAGUGAGAGGAUUAGCUAGCUAUAAAACCAGGGUUAAUCCACCAUUUUCUACACCAGGAAAAUUUUAAUGCCUAUAACAAGUCAGGAAUAUGACAGUUGUUUUCCAUUCGUUUGAAGUGUUCGAGCGUUUGUUUUUGCCAUUUUAUUAAGGACUUUCCGUUUUGAAUUUCCCUUCUAGUUUGUUAAUUUAUUUUUUGUGUGACUUACCUUCGUCAACUCUAAAAGUCUAGAUUUAUAUCAGUUCAAGUCGCACAGUACUAUCGAUUUGGGAUGUAUAAAUACACAGCCUCUGUUGUAACCAGAAACGAUUGUAACAUGAUGCUCUUACGAAGUCUCCCAAACACAGCUCUCAUAAUUACAGUCAUUUCCAAGGUCGCCGGAUAUUGGACAAAGUCCAGUAAAAAUUGAUUUGGUCCAGUAAAGUGAUAUGCAUUAGUGACCCCUGGGACUCAUCCUAUAUAUCAUUCAAAUCAUCCUGACAUGACAAACAGGAAUAUGUAUGGUGUAAGGAUGGGGAUCUCGAUUAUUAACAAGAUAUUUGAACAUAUUCAAAUGACAGGGGUGGGGAUGAUCAUUUGGGUCACCCUGUAUAUCAUUCAAAUCAUCUUGGCAUGAAAACCUAGAAUAUAAAAAUACUAGUAAGAAGAUAUGGAAUGAGUGUCAAUGAGACAACUCUCCAUCCAAGUCACAAUGUGUAAAAAGUAAACGAUUAUAGGUCAAAGUACGGCCUUCAACAAGGAGCCUUGACUCACACAUAACAACAAGCUAUAAAGGGCUCCAAAAUGACUCAGUGUAAAACAAUUCAUACAGGAAAACCAACGGUCUAAUCUAUAUAAAAAACGAGAAACGAGAAAGUCAAACACUUAAGAACCACAUCAACAAACGUCAACCACGGAAACAGGUUCCUGACUUAGGAUAGGUGCAAUCAAAUGUAGCGGGUUUAAACGUUUUAACAGGUGCCAACCUUCACCCUAACCUGAAAUAGUAGUGUAACAUUACAACAUAGAAAGACACACUAUAAAAUAUCAAUUGAAAUGACUUAACUCAAUCAAAAAGGCAUAUCAACAAAAACAAGUAAACAUACUGUACACUGAACGAAUAAAUUUGAUCUAUGACACAAUAUAAAUACAAUGUUGAAUUAAAAAAAAGGGGGGGAUGUAAAUCAAUGUCAAAAAGACAACUAUAACCUUGGACAAAAUGGCCUUAAAUAAAAAAACGUACACAGUUAAAUUUAAAUAUGAUGAUUUUGUUGUUAGGAGUAUGGAGAUAUUUUUUACAAAAUAAAUAUUUUUUUGUUCAUAGUACGAAAACAGCAGUGAAAAUGUAUCAUCAUAGUAAAUGCAUUACAAAUUGUGCCAGCAGGUCAAAUUAACACGAAAGAACGAUUUUAGAGUACUCACAGUUACUGAAAGCUAGUUUAAAGCCAAAAACAAUAAAUAAUAAAAAUCAUGCAUCAAAGUAAUACAUGGUUUGGGGAUGGGGAGCUAGACCAUUCACAAGGCUUAUGAACAUUGGGUAGGGGGAACCCCUGGGGACUGACCCCAUAUAUAAUUCAAAUCUUCGUGACAUGACAAACAGGAAUAUAUAUGGUUUAGGAUUGGGGAUCUCGACCAUUUACAAGAUAUAUUUGAACAUAUUCAAAUGACAGGGGGUGGGGAUAACCUUUUGGGUCUUACCCUGUAUAUUAUUCAAUAUAUUUUGGAAUGAUAAACCAGAAUAUAUAUGGUUUAGGGGUGUGGAUCUGGACCAUUUACAAGAUAUAUGAACAUUGGGGGUGGCGGGACCCCUGGGGACUGACCCUCUAUAUCAAUCAAAUAUUCGUGACAUGACGAUCAGGAAUAUAUAUGGUCUAGGGGUGGGGAUCUUGACCAUUUACAAUAUAUUAGAUCAUUGGGGUGGGGACCCAUGGGGACUCACCCUAUGUAUCAUUCAAUUCUUCGUGACAUGGCAAGUACAAGACUGUAUAGCCAGUCAAGGUCGUUAAAAACUUCCAUAUAUAUAUAUAUACAUGACAAACAGGAAUAUAUAUGGUUUAGGGGUAGGGAUCUCGACCUCAUAUAUAUUAUUAAAAUCAUCCUGACAUGACAAACAGGAAUAGAAGGUUUAGGGAUGGGGAUUUCGAUCGUUUACAAGAUAUAUGAACAUUGGGGGUGGAGGACCCCUGGGGACUCACCCUAUAUAUCAUUCAAUUCUUCGUGACAUGACGAACAGGAUUACAGGAAUAUAUAUGGUUUAGGGGUAGGUAUCUCGACCAUUUACAAGAUAUUUGGACAUAUUCAAAUGACAGGGGAUGGGGAUGACCGCUUUGGUCUUACCCUGUAUGUCAUUCAAUUCAUCUUAGCAUGACAAACCAGAAUAUAUAUGGUUUAGGGGUGGGGAUCUUGACUACUUAGAUAUUUGAACUUUCUCAAAUGGCAGGGAUGGGGUGACUACUAGGGACUAACCCUUUAUUUCAUGUUGAUGUGCUUUAUCAUGUAGAAAAUUUUCAAUUAUAAAUAUUGUGUCUAUCACUAACUGUUUUCAAGUUAUAAUCAUUUGAAAAUAAAAAAAAAAAGGUUCCUCCCUUCUUUUUGACCCUCAAAGUACCCCUUUAUAGACCCCAAUGCACAAACAAAACCUUGAUUGCACCACUAGACAUGCUAGUCUAAGAUAAUUGUAGAACCUUGCGUAAAUCUGACAAGCGGCUUUGGAGAACGGGUGCACAAAAGUUCACUUAAAAAAGCGGCGAAAGAGGAGGAACAGGAAUAAUAAAAAUAAUAAUAAUAAUAAUAAUAAUAAUAAUAAUUUUUGAUGUUUCCAUGGAAACGGUGACCAUUUUCAAACGUCCAAAGAGAGAAGCCCCACUGGCAGAUGCCAUGUUAUAUCCAUAAAGUUUUAUUGGGUUUGAUCUAAUUUUAUUUAAGAAAAGAAAAAGCAGCUUUAAUGUAUUUUCCCAUAGAGUCAAUUUUAAACUUUCGCCCUGUUUCCAUGACAACGGCGGCCAUUUUGGAAUUUCUUAAUAAUGUUUGCACAUCUAGGCAUACCAAGUAACAUUUCAAUAAAGUUUCAUCCAGUUUUAAAAGUUUCAAAAGAUUUAUUUUUUUUCACCCGCAUUUUAGCAGUUUCCAUGGAAACGGUGGCGAAGAAACGUCACCCCACCUCCGUUAAGGAUGCAAAAAUAAUAAUAACUGAGCAAAAAAAAUAAGUCUCCGAAAUUUGUUUGGGAGACUUAAUUAAAUAACCUUUGUAAACUUUGGAAUUUAAAAACCAUACCAGUUUAAAUCUAAUUAACAGUGCUAUCCAUUUGGGAUGUAUAAGUACGCAGCCUCUGUCGUAAAUCACUUAACCUUCGUCAACUUUGAAAUUUUAGAAUUAUACUAGUUAAAAUCUAACAAUGCUAUUCAUUGAGAAUCUCUGUUUUAAUAACUAAACUUAGGUCCCCUGUGAAAUUCUAGAAUUGGACCAGCUCAUAUCGCACAUUACUAUUCUUUUGGGAUGCAUAUUUCUGUUGUAAAUAUUUGACCUCUGUCAACUUUGAAAUUUUAGAACCAUACAAGCGUGGUUCGGUUUUUAAUUUGUAUUACUUUCAAAAUUGUAUUUAGUUAUAUCAGAAUAGAUAUAUAAUAUGAUAAGCUUCAUUUUAUAUCAUUUUAUAUCAUACUGACGAAGAAUAUCUGCUAUCCGAAAUAUUUAAUUGAUACUUGUAUUUACUGUUUCCUCUUUAGCUUGUCUGGCCCAAAGGGCCAAGGGAGCUUUUCUCAGUACUUGGCGUCCGUCAUCCGCCGUCUAUUAUUUUGAAAACUGUUUUAAAUUGAGAAAAUCUGACAGGAACAGAAAUGUUCAGAAUGUUGAGCUCUACCAAUUGUCCAUAUACGUCAAAAACUGUCAGACGACUUCUUAUACGGGAGUUAUUGCCCUUAAAUGAUAAAUUAUACCAUUUUUUCAUUUUUGCCUAUUAUAUUUAAAACUAUAAUGAGUACAGAGAAACUUUAAAUCGCAAAAAUUAUCAGCAAGUCAAGUUCUUCAAAUAAGCCCCCCAUGGUCGAAAUCGUCAGUCGACUCCUAAUUAGAGUUAUUGCCCUUUAAUGACGAUUUUUGAACAUAUUUGGCGAGUUUGCCCAAGGAUUUGUAUAGUAAUACUAUAAAAAUCCUUGGUUUGCCUUAUAUCUUAAAUAUUAUAACAGAUAGAUAGAAACUUAAAUAAGCAAAAAAAAAAAUGAUCAGCAAGACAAGAUCUACAAUUAAGACAAUUUGGAGGAACCGUCCGACGACUCCUUAUUGGAGUUAUGGCCCUUUAAUGCGGUUUUUACCAUUUUUUUUUUUUUUUGCGUUUUGCGUUUUGCCUUACAUGAUAAAAAUUAUAAUAGAUAAAUAGACACUUUAAAUCACAAAAAUUAUCAGCAAGUCAAGAUCUCUAACAAGUCAAAAUUUGCCGAUUUAGUUAGUAGAUUCACUGUCACUCUUUAUAGGAGUGAUUGUCCUUAAAUGAGGAUUUUUUUUUGAGAAAACUAAAGAAGAUAGAGAGAAACUAAUCAGACUAAAUGAUCAGCAAUAUAAGAUCAACAAAACAGAGAUUUUUGUCAUGAAUUCUAUUCUCGCCUGCAAUGUUGGCGAAUGCCCCUGCAAUGUUGGCGAAUGCCCUUUGUUGAAUAUACAUAUACCAAGGUGAGCGACACAUGCACUUUAGGGCCUCUAGUUUUGCAUGAAGUAGAUUUUUUUAGAGUUUUAGAUCCAUAGUCCUGAUUUUCCACACCAAAAGAGUUAACACUUUGGCCUUAUUCACAAGUUGUAAAUAUUUUGUAGCCAUCGUACACAAACCGGAGAGCACUUUUUCUAACCUUUAAGAAUUAUUUUCAGUGCAAAAAUUAUAAUUACUAGUACUCAUAAUAAAAGUACGACUAUAGUGAGUUAAAAUUUAUCUAAUUUGGAAAGAAAAGGUUCUAAACGUUUCAAAACAUUAAGCUGCUGAGAUGACUUCUACAUAAAUAACUAAUAUGUAAAUCAAAAUUAAACUGUUAGUCAACAACUUUACAACACCUGGAAUUUGUCAGGAUUAGCUUGUAUUUUAUUAAAUUUAUACCGAACAAUCAGUUGGUUGAAUUCCUCUUCUAUUGUAGAUAUUAUCUUGUUAAAGUCAGGACUACAGAUCAAUAAUGUGUUGACAUAUGUAAAGUUAAUAUUCAAUGUGCUCUGCUAAAUAAAAUUUAAAAAAUACGUUUAUAAAAUCGUUAAACAAAAGAGGUUCAAGAAUAUAACCCAGUGGCACACCUUUCUGGAUGUCAGCCCAACUACUAUAAGUAUGUUGCCAACUUUUAUUUGUUGUUUUCUUUUUGAUAAAUAUGAAUUUAAAAGGGAAACUGGACGGAGAGGAAACACCAUAAAGGGACAAUUUGUCGAGUAAAAUUUCAUGAGGUAAGCAAACAAAGUCUUUGGCUAGGUAAUUUUUUUUUGAAGUGGAGUUACUUAAUUGUGCCUCUUUUCGUCUAUCUGGAAAUGCACCAGAAUCACCAGAUAGAUCGAUCAGCUGUAGCGCAAAAACAGAUUUACUAUGUUUCACAAUUUUAGCUGGAAGUCUGUCACAGUCAGUAGCAGCUUUUUAAUAUCUAUUUUAUUUAUAUGUUUCUACCUUCUCGAUGGUAGUUCUUUUACAUUCAAAAUUUACCUAAGAGCUAGUCUCUAUGGAUUUUAUAAUCUAUAAGAAGCUUGGAUGUGAAAAUUGGGUCAUAUAUUACACACUUUCCCAUUUCCCCAGCUACAGUUGACUAAAAAAAAAAGCCAUAAAAAUGUUCUGCAAAUUGUUUAAUAUCCUAGUCUCAAUUUUUUUAUUUUCACUCAAGAGUAUUUUUGUUUUACCUGAGUGAGUAUAAAGUGACACUUUUUAGAGAAAAAAGGUUUUAUCAUGUUUAUAGUAUUCAAAAAAUCAUUCUAAGAAAUCAAUUUUCAUUGAUCUCAUUUUAAAUUAUUAAACAGAUUUCUUUGUUUUCAGAGGCGGAUUUAGGCCCGCCCCCCCCCCGCCCCAUCCUUUUUGAGAAAAAAAUUAGGUUGCUAUAUAGGAAAUCACUGAAGCGUGACGAAAUCGGGUCCCCUCUUUGGCAGCCAGUGGGCCGUCACUUACGAAAUUCUGGAUCCGCCAAUGGUUUUCUAAUCCCCCCCCCCCAAGUUAUUCCAUUUCUUUGUUUUGUAUAACUUGAAUAGAACAUGUUUACGGUGAAUGGGUCAGUUUUCUUAAAAAGCAUUUUUUCUACAGUGGUAUCUUGUAGUUUAAAAGUGCAUGUUUAUCUAGUAUAUUCAAGUAUGACACGAGUCUUUUCAUAAUUCGUAUAAAUUUUCAUACAUACACAUAGAAAAUAAAGCAUAAAGCAUGGAUAGAAAAAAAGAGGAAAGUCUUGCGGAGUAUCGUUGACCAUCGUUCACACACUCAAACCCAUAAACAAAAGUUUGGGAAAAAAAGGAACGAGAACUCAAAAUUCUGCAUGUUCCCUGUUCAACACUUGGAACAGUUUAAAUAGUCCAUAAAAAAAUAGUCAUUUGGGAUUAAAAAAUAACGUUUAUCGUUUUUCAUAAUGAAUCUAUAUUAUAUAACUUAAGAUAUCGAUUGAAUAAAAAAAACAUCUGGUUUUAUCAAAUAAAGCUAUAUAUAGGAACUACAUUUACUGUCAUUUCGUUUUUUUUGCGGAGUAAUACACAUUAUAGGUGAAUUGAGGUCAAUCGAUUUAGGUUACGCCAAGCUUGGCGCGGGUUUGAAUGCCGGCAAUUUAAUUAAAUUUUGUGACAUUUAAUUAACAGGAGUAAUACUGAAAUCAAAUCAGUCCAUUUGUAAGUUUUAAAGAUGUUUAUUAAUUUAUUGCAAGUGCGAAUUCUCGUUUUUCAUUGUGUCUGAUCACUUGUUAUAACAAAAAAAAGGAACCUAUUUUCAUUUUCACUGACUUGUAAUUUGCAUUUUUCAGGUAAAUUUCGACGAGGAAAUGUUUAAAUUUUUGAAGAAGCAUCCCUCUAAGGAUAGCGAGGAGAGAGAAAAAUUGAAGAAAGAGUUGUUUGGAUUCAAACGGGUGAGUAGUAGAUUGUAGUAAAUAUACUUUUGUUGCAGCCAUAUUGAAUGAAGUUAAAAUGAAUGACAGAUGACUCAUAAGUGAUAACAAGAUAUGGGGCCACUUAAGGUUAUUAAUUGACCUAUGGUUUUAAAGUUAUCUGUUCACGGCAGGUACUUAACCAUGCAUUAAACCUGUUUAAAUCAGUCUGGAAAUGGUUUCAAUACCACACAGAAUGCAACAGCUGUCUUGUAACAUGUUAUUUACAAUUUUUAGAAUGUAUCUCAUCUUCACUACACUUCAAUAACUUCAUCAUUUCAUUUUGAUACCCAUGAGAGGGUGGUAAUGGGGGUACCUUCAUGUCAAAUAAUGUUAAAAGUUCUUUCCAAAUGAAGUUAACAGUAACUUUUGGUGCAUGACGAAAAAGUCAUUCAAUAUGAAUUCGGUUCCUUACUUAGAAAGAAGACGAUGGAAAAAUGCACUUUCUUUUAGACGAUGAAAAAAUUGAAUGAUUUUGAUAAUAAUUUGUCAUUAUUUGAGACCUCUGAUGAAUCAUUUUAAGGACAUUUUUAGGAAUCAUGGUAAAAUUUUAAACAAUUAGAUUCUUACAGUUGUCGAAAAUGACCGUUUAUAUCUGACAUUAAAGGGUAUAUUACUACAUUUGUGCCCUCAUGAAACUUCUACCAAUUUGUAUAGAUGUUCAAGUUAGACCAUACCUAUACAGAGCCUUGAAAACUUGUAUUAUAUGUAUCUAUCUAAAAUUUGGAAAGUUCGACACUGAUAUCUAGAUGGAUCUCUAAAAAAAAUCAGACCAUAUUUUAAUGCCCAGGCUGUAGUAGGUCUCAUUUGGGUCUAAGCGUGACACAGUAUUGGUGAUUUUUUUGUAAGCUUGACAUGUGAAAGUCAAAUUAUUCAUUGUGCUGUGAAUCAGGAAAUGAAGUCUAGUGGGACACAGGAAAUUACAAAAAAAUGAGAAUUGCUUACGAACAUAGUGUAAGCGGGAUCCAGGAUCAGAACCCUCCAAUGAGACGCCCCCUGUAGGAGGAGGCGGCAUUAAGUUUUACCCUUCUCCGACUGUACAUCGGUUUAUACGUCCUGAAAUUGUUUUCUAACCAAAUGUAAUGAAUUUUGUACACAAUGCUUAUUACACCAAGUGACUUAGAUCAAGUUUUACAUUAAACUAAGUUUGUGUAAUGGUUACCUUUCUAGAGUUUUGCCCCUUUACAAAUGGAAAAUUGCUGAAUUUUUCAUCUCCAUUAUAAAACUAAAUUUGCCUCAACCAAAUGUUUUAAUAUGAAACGUGUACACAAUUUGCUUUGACAAAGCUUUUGACAACAAAUGGUAUCAAUGUUGUACACUAUGCUUAUUACCACAAAACAGAUAACUUUGGAGUUUGGGUGGCAUUGCUAAAUCAGUCUGCACCAAAAACUUUUUCAACUACUAGUCCGAAGACCAAUAUCCUGACAUUUUUCUUAUUGGUCCAAACAAAGUUUUGCAAAAACUUACUAGUCCGAAUGAAAUUUUACUAGUCUGGGGCAUCGAACUAGUGGCUAACCGUGCAGACUGAUAAAUUAUUUUGGAUGUACAUGUAGAGAAAUGGCCCGUUACUGUUGGUUCAACUUAGUUAGUUGCAUAUAUUUUAAACUGGUAAAUUUUCAGACUUGACUGACCUUUCAGCUAUUUUUGAUAUUUAAAUCAUAACAUUUCAACUUUUUUUGGGCCAUUUGAACUAUUUGUGUUUUAAAAACAUCACCAGAAAAUGACAAAACAUAUUGAAUUCAGGGUAAUGAUCUAGUUAAGUGUGGGAAACUUAAACACAAUGCUUAUUACCACCAAUCAAAGAUGGCAGUACAAAUGUAUCUACAUGUAGUAUUAUAUACAUGUACCCCUUUAAAAAAAUGUAACUUAAAUGUAUGAUAAAGGUAGGUAUUUUUAUUGUGAUAUAGAGAGUUUCUGUAUGACAUGAGAACUUUUAUUUUUUUCAGUGCACAGAACAUGGAUUUAUUAACAAGCCAGCUUGUAUGGACUAUGAUCCAAAACUUCAAUUGCUAGCCAUUGGAAACAAGCAAGGCUAUAUUAAAAUGUAUCCUUUACAUAGAUUAAGACCUUAAUUUAAAUGGUUAUGUAUUUAUGCAUAUUUAAGUUCUAUACAUAUAUAUACCGGUAGUUAGAUACAGUCUCUUUAUGUAGCCAGAAUCUGAGUGAUUGUGUAGUGUUUGAUACCGCUUUCAACAUAAUUGUGCUAUUUCAUGGCAUUAAGCUGUUAUUGGUCAAUUAAGAUUAAAGUGUAGCGCACCUUCCACUUGCAGGAUUUAAACUUAAGUGUUGACAGGCUAUUCAACUAUUUAGACCUCUUGGCCACAUGUAUGAUAUUAUUAAACACUGAUUAGAUUUUUCCGCUGCUUUCCUAUUUUUUAAGUUCAUGUUUUUUUC